CACAUAAGACAUGCAAGUCGAACGGACUUAACUCAUCUUUUAGAUUGAGAGCGGUUAGUGGCGGACUGGUGAGUAACACGUAAGUAACCUGCCUAUUAGAGGGGAAUAACAGUGAGAAAUCAUUGCUAAUACCGCAUAAGCUGAUAAUAUCGCAUGAUAUAGCCAGAAAAGGAGCAAUCCGCUAAUAGAUGGGCUUGCGGCUGAUUAGCUAGUUGGUGAGGUAACGGCUUACCAAGGCGACGAUCAGUAGCCGAGCUGAGAGGCUCUACGGCCACAUUGGGACUGAGAUACGGCCCAGACUCCUACGGGAGGCAGCAGUCGGGAAUAUUGCGCAAUGGAGGAAACUCUGACGCAGUGACGCCGCGUAUAGGAUGAAGGUUUUCGGAUUGUAAACUAUUGUCGUUAGGGAAGAAAUUUGACAGUACCUAAGGAGGAAGCUCCGGCUAACUAUGUGCCAGCAGCCGC
rnacentral:rRNA from 1 species